rnacentral:rRNA from 1 species
UGGGGAAUAUUGCACAAUGGGCGCAAGCCUGAUGCAGCGACGCCGCGUGAGGGAUGACGGCCUUCGGGUUGUAAACCUCUUUCAGCUCCGACGAAGCGCAAGUGACGGUAGGAGCAGAAGAAGCACCGGCCAACUACGUGCCAGCAGCCGCGGUAAUACGUAGGGUGCAAGCGUUGUCCGGAAUUACUGGGCGUAAAGAGCUCGUAGGCGGUUUGUCGCGUCGUCUGUGAAAUUCUGCAGCUUAACUGCAGGCGUGCAGGCGAUACGGGCAGACUUGAGUACUACAAGGGAGACUGGAAUUCCUGGUGUAGCGGUGAAAUGCGCAGAUAUCAGGAGGAACACCGGUGGCGAAGGCGGGUCUCUGGGUAGUAACUGACGCUGAGGAGCGAAAGCGUGGGUAGCGAACAGG